AAAGUGGGCACGGGUGAGUAGCGCGUAGGUAACCUACCUCUGUAUUGGGGAUAACCCCGCGAAAGCGGGGCUAAUACCGGAUGAGACCUGGGAUGGUGGUCUUGGGGUGAAAGCGGGCCUCUCGAAGAAGCUCGCGUACGGGGAUGGGCCUGCGUCCUAUCAGCUAGUUGGUGGGGUAAUGGCCUACCAAGGCGACGACGGGUAGCUGGUCUGAGAGGAUGAUCAGCCAUACUGGCACUGGAACACGGGCCAGACUCCUACGGGAGGCAGCAGUGAGGAAUUUUGCGCAAUGGGAGCAAUCCUGACGCAGCAACGCCGCGUGGGUGAAGAAGGCCUUCGGGUCGUAAAGCCCUGUCAGGUGGGAAGAACAGGCACAUGGUUGAACAGGCUGUG
rnacentral:rRNA from 1 species